AAACCAUGGGGCGGACACUUUAUAAUUAGCUCUUUAAAUCUCUCCCAGCUAUCACAGAAUUUCUCGUCCUCCUCUUGACUGAAACUGCUGAUUUCUUGACGAAGUUC